rnacentral:rRNA from 1 species
CGGCAUGCAAGUCGAACGGGCUCGGUUUUCGGAUCGGGUCAGUGGCGGAAGGGUGAGUAAGGCGACGGUAACCAACCCCAUGGUCGGGUAUAGCCGCGGGAAACUGCGGGUAAUCCCCAGCGACGUCAAUGGCCGGCAUCGGCCGUUGACCAAAGCUCAGGCGCCGUGGGACGGGCCGUCGUGGUAUUAGAUAGUUGGCGGGGUAACGGCCCACCAAGCCGAUGAUGCCUACCGGGCGUGCGAGCGUGGCCCGGCACACUGGGACUGAGACACUGCCCAGACCCCUACGGGAGGCUGCAGUCGAGAAUCUUCGGCAAUGGGCGCAAGCCUGACCGAGCGACGCCGCGUGGAGGAUGAAGGCCUUCGGGUUGUAAACUCCUGUCGAGGGGGAGGAAGGGGCAACCUUGACCGAUCCCUGGAGGAAGCACGGGCUAAGUUCGUGCCACCACCCGCGGUAAGACGAACCGUGCGAACGUUAUUCGGAAUCACUGGGCUUAAAGCGCGUGUAGGCGGAUGGGAACGUCGGUAGUUGAAAGCCCCCGGCUCAACCGGGGAAGUGGUGCCGAAACGACCCGUCUGGAGGGACGUAGGGGGAGCUGGAACUUCCGGUGGGAGCGGUGACAUGCGUUGAGAUCGGAAGGAACGCCCGUGGCGAAAGCGAGCUCCUGGACGUCUGCUGACGCUGAGACGCGAAAGCUAGGGUAGCGAACGGGAUUAGAUACCCCGGGUAGUCCUAGCCGUAAACGAUGGGCACUGGGUAGGGGGCUCGCCGAUGGGCCUCCCUGCCGUACCGAAAGCGUGAAUGCCCCGCUGGGGAGUAUGGUCGCAAGGCUGAAACUCAAAGAAUUGACGGGGGCUUCACACAGCGCUGAGCAUGUGCUUAAUUCGAGCUACGCGAAAAACCUACCUGGGCUUGACAUGCA